rnacentral:rRNA from 1 species
GACAGAGGGUGCAAACGUUGCUCGGAAUCACUGGGCGUAAAGGGCGUGUAGGCGGGUAGAUAAGUCGGGCGUGAAAUCCCUAGGCUCAACCUAGGAACUGCACUCGAAACUGUUUAUCUUGAGUGCCGGAGAGGAAAGCGGAAUUCCUGGUGUAGAGGUGAAAUUCGUAGAUAUCAGGAGGAACACCAGUGGCGAAGGGCGGCUUUCUGGACGGUAACUGACGCAUGA